ACGUUUAGGUAGUCGCUACAGCAAUGUAGAGGAAAGUCCAUGCUCGCACGGUCUGCGAUGACCGUAGUGUUCGUGCCUAGCGAAGUCAUAAGCUAGGGUAAUCUGGUUUUUUACUGGAUUAACGGCGAAGUAAGCACCUACGUCUUUUGAUAUGGUGUGAUGCUUCUGAAAAGUGCCACAGUGACGUAGUCUGUUUGGAAACGAACAGAGUGGAACGAGGUAAACCCCUCGAGCGAGAAACCCAAACUAUGGUAGGGGCACCUUCUCAAAGGAAUUGAACGGAGAGAAGGACAGGACAUAUGUCCUGUAGAUAGAUGAUUACCACCGGAGUACGAGGCUCAUCACCGUUUGAAGUACGAAGGAACAGAACAUGGCUUAUCAAA
rnacentral:RNase_P_RNA from 1 species